rnacentral:rRNA from 1 species
UACGUAGGGGGCAAGCGUUAUCCGGAUUCAUUGGGCGUAAAGAGUAUGUAGGCGGUUUAUUAAGUCUAGAAUGAAAGCCCGAGGCUUAACCUCGGUUAGUUUUAGAAACUGGUAAACUAGAGUGCGGUAGAGGCAAAUGGAAUUCCUAGUGUAGCGGUGAAAUGCGUAGAUAUUAGGAGGAACAUCAGUGGCGAAGGCGAUUUGCUGGGCCGUUACUGACGCUGAGAUACGAAAGCGUGGGGAGCAAAUA